rnacentral:tRNA from 1 species
GGAGAGUUGCCAGAGCGGACGAAUGGGGCGGCCUCGAAAGCCGUUGUGGUCUUUUAGGCCACCAUGGGUUCAAAUCCCAUACUCUCCGCCA